AUUGAACGCUGGCGGCAUGCUUUACACAUGCAAGUCGAACGGUAACAGGUUAAGCUGACGAGUGGCGAACGGGUGAGUAAUGCAUCGGAACGUGCCCGGUCGUGGGGGAUAACGCAGCGAAAGCUGCGCUAAUACCGCAUACGAUCUGAGGAUGAAAGCGGGGGACCGUAAGGCCUCGCGCGAUCGGAGCGGCCGAUGUCAGAUUAGGUAGUUGGUGGGGUAAAGGCUCACCAAGCCGACGAUCUGUAGCUGGUCUGAGAGGACGACCAGCCACACUGGGACUGAGACACGGCCCAGACUCCUACGGGAGGCAGCAGUGGGGAAUUUUGGACAAUGGGCGCAAGCCUGAUCCAGCAAUGCCGCGUGCAGGAAGAAGGCCUUCGGGUUGUAAACUGCUUUUGUACGGAGCGAAAAGGCUCUCUCUAAUACAGGGGGCUCAUGACGGUACCGUAAGAAUAAGCACCGGCUAACUACGUGCCAGCCGCCGCGGUAA
rnacentral:rRNA from 1 species